AUCAGGAGAUUUUUCCUUCCGGUUUCUCACAAGACACACAGAGAGGUGGAGAAGAGGAUCAAAAAGCCCCGAGGAAACACACGGAGCGAGGGCGGGCGAACCAGAGAGAGAGAGAGAGAGAGAGAGGUUCUCAAAUAGGUGGUGUUGAUGGAGUUGAUAAGAGGGAGGACGAGAGGUGGAUCGGUCUCAAAGUCGGCUCUUUUAUGCUGGGUUUUCAUCUGCCUCUUCUCUGCUUGCGCUUUGAUUCCAAUUACUAACAGGAGGAGUGUUCAUUCAGGUGAUCAAGAGAAUAAAAGCUCAAGAGCGGAUUCUUCUACUCAGGUGCUCUUCCUUCUUCACCCUAUUCUGCCACUUUUAACCCAUUAUAUAUAUAUAUAUAUAGUCUCGAUAUUCUAUGACUAAUCAACAAUUACGAGAUGUUAAUUUUAACCAUAAGCACCCUAUCAAAUGCGGACUGCCUUUGCCGGCCCAUUGUACAAGAUCAACGCUCCCCGGCUAAAAUGCACCCGUUUAGGUUAACCGGCGGCGAUGGCCGCGUUUAGGCCGCCGGCUGAGAGCCCGCGGCGCAUGUUAGCAAAGACUCGUGGGUUCUGCCAAAUUCUAUCUCGGUAUAAGGUCUGUUGCUAACGUGAGCUGGUGGGGGGUGGUCGCAGGGAGUAUCGGUGCGGAGGCGGGAGCUGAGCGGCGGGCCGGGGUCGUAUCCGCCGCUGUGCACGUCCAAGUGCGGGGCGUGCACGCCGUGCAGCCCGGUGCACGUUCCGGUGCCCCCUGGCACGCCGGUGAUCGCCGAGUACUACCCGGAGGCCUGGCGGUGCAAAUGCGGCAACAAGCUCUACAUGCCCUGACCUCAUCUUCUCUCUCUGUCCUCAUCACCACCAGCACCACACUAGAAGAAGAAAAAUUAUUAUGCAAUACUCUUCUUAGUUCUCAUGUUUACUUGAGAGUUCUCCUGUAGCAAUAGCAUAGAGUUUAAAUGAUGCCCGCAUAUGUAUCGACCAUGAGAUGGAAAUUAAUGAUGGGGUGUGAAAGAGGAGAAAGGAAGACUUGUGUAAUUCUUAGAUGAGUGUACAGACUUUUUGUUUAUUGAAGUAGGGGAAAUUUUUUUCUAAUUUUCUUCAC